CCCAGGUCCCGCCGAGAAACAGCGCCUUUGCCGGGCUCUCCAGAGCUGCCCAGGACCAGGGAAAACAAUGCAAAGCUGCAUUGCAUUUGCAUUGCUAGGGAGAGGAGAGGGGAAGAGGAAUGGAGAUAUCAGCUGACCAGAGCAUACAACACAAUCUGUUAUGCAACCAGACUUUUCAAGUGCAAUAUUCUGAGGGAGACAUCAAAAUGAUUUUAAAAAGCUACCCAGGAGAACACCUGCAGUCUGUGGGAAGAAAGAACACCUGUUCCACUCUGAUUACCAAGAACGGAAGUCAGCGUCUUUUGGUGUGAAACAACCCUUUCUUCAGAUCAAAAGCAGAGCAGAAAGACACUGGCCUUGCUUUCUAAAGACUGCAGGCUAAAAAGUGCUCUGAAAGCUGAAGAAGAUAUACAGGAAAGCCACAAAGGCAAUGGCUACAGUGGUGAGAAAUUCAGCAGUACAGUAGUAGGUCAGUAGAUCAAAGUAGUUUUUACUAGUGUCACUAUCUCUGUCA